rnacentral:rRNA from 1 species
CGUAGGUGGCAAGCGUUGUCCGGAUUUAUUGGGUUUAAAGGGUGCGUAGGCGGCCCCGUAAGUCAGUGGUGAAAUAUCUCAGCUUAACUGAGAGGGUGCCAUUGAUACUGCGGGGCUUGAGUACAGAUGAGGUAGGCGGAAUUGACGGUGUAGCGGUGAAAUGCAUAGAUAUCGUCAAGAACUCCGAUAGCGAAGGCAGCUUACUAAGCUGUAACUGACGCUGAGGCACGAAAGUGUGGGGAUCAAACAGGAUUGGAUACCCUGGUAGUCCACACUGUAAACGUUGAUGACUCGAUGUUGGCGAUACACAGCCAGCGUCCAAGAGCAAUCGUUAAGUCAUCCACCUGGGGAGUACGCCGGCAACGGUG